AACGAACGCUGGCGGCAGGCCUAACACAUGCAAGUCGAACGGACGUAGCAAUACGUCAGUGGCUCACGGGAGAGUAACGCGUGGGAACCUACCUUUUGGUUCGGGAUAACAUCGGGAAACUGGUGCUAAUACCGGAUAAGCCCUUCGGGGGAAAGAUUUAUUGCCGAAAGAUGGGCCCGCGUUGGAUUAGCUAGUUGGUGAGGUAAUGGCUCACCAAGGCAACGAUCCAUAGCUGGUCUGAGAGGAUGAUCAGCCUCACUGGGACUGAGACACGGCCCAGACUCCUACGGGAGGCAGCAGUGGGGAAUAUUGGACAAUGGGGGAAACCCUGAUCCAGCCAUGCCGCGUGAAUGAUGAAGGCCCUCGGGUUGUAAAGUUCUUUUGGUGGGGACGAUGAUGACGGUACCCACAGAAUAAGCUCCGGCUAACUUCGUGCCAGCAGCCGCGGUAA
rnacentral:rRNA from 1 species